CAUUUGAGGGCUUUAACUGCUGUUAAUUUGAGCAAAGGCAUGGCCAAAUAAUAAAUGAAAAGUUUUCAACAAUAUGAAUGAGCAAAUAAAUAAAUUAGACUAUUAACCCCUUAUUUAGUGCAUAUGGAAUUGGUUUUUGGGAAUGGACAGUAGACUUUUCAAUUCCUUUGUUUGAAGCAUUGUCUAGAAUUGGAAUUACAAAACCCAGUCCAUUUCUACAGAAUUGAAAAAUAACUAGAAAUGCAUCUUUACAUUUUUUAAGAAGGUGCCUAAAAAUUAGAAUUCCAAAUUUCAGUCUCCUCUGUUUUUCAAUUACAUCUGCUCCAUGUCUCCCAACACAUCACAAGGUUUCUCUCUAACCGCUGCCCACACCUCAACCUGAAGUUCACCAUCAAGCGCAGUCAGCAGCACUGUCAAUGGACAAACAACUGGCUACCAACUUUGCAAUCAAGACAUCAAUAUUGAUUUUCUCAUUCUUAAGACCACCUAUCCCUUUCUUCUUAUCCACAAUCUUCAAUCCUCAGUCACUACAAAAGAUUAUCCCAAUAUGGUAGUAUUCCUACCAAUCACUAGAUGUGGCUAGAUUUUCUUUUUAUUUCACCCUUUUAAUCACAACAUAUAAUAUUUCAAAAGUAUAUCUUCGGUUCUUUAUAUAUAUAUGUUUCAUUUUCAUUUGUUUUCAUCACUAGUUAGAGGGAUAAGUGGCAUCAUCAGCCGUUAAGCUUAUGGCUUUUCUUCCCUGAGUUCUGGUCUAAUUGCGGUAGAGGUUAUUUUGUACUUGCAAGGUAUUAUACGUGGAUGUGUUUGUACAGAAAGCAGAAAAUACAAGGAAAAAAAAAAUUCUACUGGACAAUUUAUUAGCCAACCUGUUUCCCAGAAUUUGUAGAUGG
rnacentral:misc_RNA from 1 species